CAAUAUCAAUAAGCGGAGGA
rnacentral:rRNA from 1 species